rnacentral:rRNA from 1 species
AAUGAACGCUGGCGGCAUGCCUAACACAUGCAAGUCGAACGAGACCUUCGGGUCUAGUGGCGCACGGGUGCGUAACGCGUGGGAAUCUGCCCUUGGGUUCGGAAUAACAGUUAGAAAUGACUGCUAAUACCGAAUGAUGUCGUAAGACCAAAGAUUUAUCGCCCAGGGAUGAGCCCGCGUAAGAUUAGGUAGUUGGUGUGGUAAAGGCGCACCAAGCCGACGAUCUUUAGCUGGCUGAGAGGAUGAUCAGCCACACUGGGACUGAGACACGGCCCAGACUCCUACGGGAGGCAGCAGUGGGGAAUAUUGGACAAUGGGCGAAAGCCUGAUCCAGCAAUGCCGCGUGAGUGAUGAAGGCCUUAGGGUUGUAAAGCUCUGUCACCGGGGGAAGAAACGCUUCAAGUUAAUAGCUUGAAGCCUGACUUAACCCGGAGAGGAAGCAGUGGCUAACUCUGUGCCAGCC